GAUGAACGCUGGCGGCGUGCCUAAUACAUGCAAGUCGAGCGAACAGAUGAGGAGCUUGCUCCUCUGACGUUAGCGGCGGACGGGUGAGUAACACGUGGAUAACCUACCUAUAAGACUGGGAUAACUUCGGGAAACCGGAGCUAAUACCGGAUAAUAUAUUGAACCGCAUGGUUCAAUAGUGAAAGACGGUUUUGCUGUCACUUAUAGAUGGAUCCGCGCCGCAUUAGCUAGUUGGUAAGGUAACGGCUUACCAAGGCAACGAUGCGUAGCCGACCUGAGAGGGUGAUCGGCCACACUGGAACUGAGACACGGUCCAGACUCCUACGGGAGGCAGCAGUAGGGAAUCUUCCGCAAUGGGCGAAAGCCUGACGGAGCAACGCCGCGUGAGUGAUGAAGGUCCUCGGAUCGUAAAACUCUGUUAUUAGGGAAGAACAAAUGUGUAAGUAACUAUGCACGUCUUGACGGUACCUAAUCAGAAAGCCACGGCUAACUACGU
rnacentral:rRNA from 1 species